CAAACCAGGAUGAAUCUCUUUGUGAGAAGCUUGAUUUGGAGACAUAAAGUGGAGGAGAAUCACCAGGAAGUUGAAUAAAUUUCAUAGGAGUUGGCAAGAAGAAGUUAUCCCACUUUCAAAUCAGGUGAUUCCAGUUUUCCAGUUUGGGAAUAGGACAGCUUCUUCGCCGUUCCAAUCAAACCAGGAUGAAUCUCUUUGUGAGAAGCUUGAUUUGGAGACAUUAAGUGGAGGAGAAUCACGAGGAAGUUGAAUAAAUUUCAUAGGAGUUGGCAAGAAGAAGUUAUCCCACUUUCAAAUCACGUGAUUCCAGUUUCCCAGUUUGGGAAUAGCACAGUUUCAUCGUCGUUCCAAUUAAACCGGGAUGAAUCACUGUGUGUGAAGCUUGAUUUGGAUACAUAAAGUGGUGAAGAAU